rnacentral:rRNA from 1 species
AAUUGGAGGGCAAGUCUGGUGCCAGCAGCCGCGGUAAUUCCAGCUCCAAUAGCGUAUAUUAAAGUUGUUGCAGUUAAAAAGCUCGUAGUUGAAUUUCGGGAUUGACGUGAUGGUCGUGCCUUAAGGGGUAUGAACUGUCGCAGUUGAUUUCUCACCUUCUGGAGAAGCAUGAUGUCCUUAAUUGGGUGUCAUGUGGAACCAGGACCUUUACCUUGAAAAAAUUAGAGUGUUUAAAGCAGGCAUUUUGCUCGAAUACAUUAGCAUGGAAUAAUAGAAUAGGACGGCAUGGUUCUAUUUUGUUGGUUUCCAGGAUCACCGUAAUGAUUAAUAGGGAUAGUUGGGGGCAUUAGUAUUCAAUUGUCAGAGGUGAAAUUCUUGGAUUUAUUGAAGACUAACUACUGCGAAAGCAUUUGCCAAGGAUGUUUUCAUUAAUCAAGAACGAAAGUUAGGGGAUCGAAGACGAUCAGAUACCGUCGUAGUCUUAACCAUAAACUAUGCCGACUAGGAAUCAGACGAUGUUAAUUUUUUAAUGACUCGUUUGGCACCUUACGGGAAACCAAAGUGU